rnacentral:rRNA from 1 species
CGGAACGGGUGAGUAAUGCGUGACCAACCUGCCCCAUGCUCCAGAAUAGCUCUUGGAAACGGGUGGUAAUGCUGGAUGCUCCAACUUGACGCAUGUCUUGUUGGGAAAGUGUUUAGUGGCAUGGGAUGGGGUCGCGUCCUAUCAGCUUGUAGGCGGGGUAAUGGCCCACCUAGGCUUCGAAGGGUAGCCGGCCUGAGAGGGCGGACGGCCACAUUGGGACUGAGAUACGGCCCAGACUCCUACGGGAGGCAGCAGUC